rnacentral:rRNA from 1 species
CAAUAGCGUAUAUUAAAGUUGUUGCAGUUAAAAAGCUCGUAGUUGGAUUUCUGGUAGGAGUGACCGUUCCGAACUUGAUUGUUCGUGUAUUGUGUUUUCUCCAGCCAUCCUUGUGGAGAAUAUUUCUUGCAUUAAUUUGUAGGGAUUGGGACCCGCAUCGUUUACUGUGAAAAAAUUAGAGUGUUUAAAGCAGGCAAUCGCUUGAAUACAUUAGCAUGGAAUAAUAAGAUAGGACUUUGGUACUAUUUUGUUGGUUUGCAUACCAAAUUAAUGAUCAACAGGAACAGUUUGAGGAUAUUCGUAUGAACAUGUCAGAGGUGAAAUUCUUGGAUUUUGAUCAGACGAACUACUGCGAAAGCAUUUAUCAAGGAUGUUUUCAUUAA